rnacentral:rRNA from 1 species
UACGUAGGUGGCAAGCGUUGUCCGGAUUUAUUGGGUUUAAAGGGUGCGUAGGCGGUCCAUUAAGUCAGCAGUGAAAUACGGCAGCUUAACUGUCGAGGUGCUGUUGAUACUGGUGGACUUGAGUACUGAUGAGGUAGGCGGAAUGGACGGUGUAGCGGUGAAAUGCUUAGAGAUCGUCCAGAACACCGAUAGCGAAGGCAGCUUACUAAAGAGUAACUGACGCUGAGGCACGAAAGUGUGGGGAUCAAACAGG